rnacentral:lncRNA from 1 species
CCUGGAGUAUGUUUGUCUCCUUCUUGGUACCAGCAGGGGCAGGUGACUGGAACCGGACCCCUUAGGAUCAGAUAUCCUAACAUAUCUGGUGCGUUGGCCGGGAAACCCACCUCUCCUGCUGUUUGAUCUUGAAGGCCAGGCUCGACUGGACGAACAGCUUGGAUCGGCGUAGGAGGUUCCAGCGCGCGCCCGCCAGUUGCGGGAGGAUUCCCUCACUCCGUUCCUGAGUGGAGACGUCCGGUCGUGGGAGAAAAAGGGAUCGGCCGAGGGAGGACACAGGGUGUGUCUCAGGACAUAGAGGUAAGCUCUUGGGAAAGAAAAGAGCAGGAGAUCUGAUCAAUCUCACCUGGAGUGUGGCAAUUAAGUGCCCCCAGGAAGGCUUGGCUGGGACAGUGAGGUCCUGCUGCCAGUGUGUGGGAAAGGAAAAGGGUAAAAAAGGGGGGGUCCCUUUGCCAGUCUGUGGAAAGGGAAAAAGGGUGGAGGUGGACUGUGAGGGUGUGGAGGUGAACUGUGUGUUGUAUGACCAAAUACUCCAGUGAAAGGAUGAAUGUGUGAGAGGUCGGGGCUUAGCGUCUCCGUGGCCAAGCGUGUCUAGGGCUGUACUCGUCUAAGCCACAGGCUGUAGUGUGUGAAGUGGGCAAGGUGUUGAUUUUGGCUAGGAGCGGAGUAUUCUGGUAAACAUGGGUUCAGGAAACAGUAAAUGUACCCCUUUGGAAUGCUUCCUGAACAACUGGAAAUUGGCCACGAAAAAUGACGACUGGGGGUUCAAAUUGAAGAAGGAGAGGCUUAGGACCCUUUGUGAAGUGGACUGGCCGACGCAGGGCACUGCCUGGCCGUCCCAAGGCAGUUUUGAGGGGCGGUUGAUCAAUCCCUUGCUGCAGAGAAUAAUUGAAGACCAUCCAGAUCAAAUUCCCUAUAUUUCCACGUGGAAAACCAAUGUGGAUAAAAACCCCCCUUGGCUGCAGGCUUGCCGAACUGCUCCAGCAAAGGCAAGGAUCUGUGCUGUCCGGCAGCAGAAAUUACCUCUUGUGGUUCAGGACACAGAAGAGGAAUUAGCUGUGAGACCACCUCCUUAUAGACCCCCAAUACCGGCAGUACCACAGAAUGGCCCACCCCUGCAGAAUAACCUCCAGAAUAAUCCCCCCAACCCAGUUGGUGGCAGCCCUAUCAACCCAAGCCCUGAGGAUAAAGACCCCACCAAAUCAGAGACAGCUAAGGAGGAUGAAAGUGAUGAUGAUGAGGGGGAUGAGGAGACACUGUUAAAGAUGUUGGAAAAGAAGGUACAGAAGGGGAGAAGUGGAGUAAGAAGCAAGACAAAUGGAUAAAGGACUAUGUAGACCCCUAUAAAGACCAAGUGGAUGUUAGUCCCCACCUCUUAGAAGUGGCACGUUGUGAGGAUGGGCACUGGAAAAAGAAACAAAAGAGGUGGCUGGAGGCAGCACGUAGAGCCGCCACCCACCAUGAGAGAGAGAGAGAGAAGAAAGAUCAGGCUACAGCCUUGAUGCCCCUCCGGGUAGUUUAUGACCCCCCAGGACCGCCAGGGGAGAAUGGGGCAGCAGCACCGCGCACCUACACAAUCCAACAUGUGCCUUUUUCAACUGCUGAUAUUUGCAAUUGGCGCAAUCAGAACCCUUCCUUUGAGGAGAACCCAGCCAAAAUCAUUAAACUUUUUGAAGGGAUCUUUAAGACUUAUGAUCCUACUUAUGAUGAUGUUCAAUAUCUUUUGGACUCUCUGUUAACAACGGAAGAAGUCCGGAGGGUCCAUAGUGAGGCAAGGGCGCAUCUGAGGCAGUUACAAUUAAAUGAUAACCAAAUAAAUGAUGCCUACCCCCGAGCCACUCCUAAUUGGGACUAUCAGGAUCAGAAUGCUCGGACUGCCCUGGCAACAUACAGGAACCAUGUACUGGCAGGAAUGAGGAGGGCAGCUAGGAAGCCUACUAACUUGGCUAAGGUGGCUGAGGUGGUCCAGAAAUCAGAUGAGUCGCCAGGGGUUUAUUUGGAGCGUCUGAAGGAAGCCUACCGGCAGUUUACCCCUCUGGACCCAGACGAUCCUGCCAAUGCUCCGGUUGUUAAGGCAGCCUUUGUGGCCCAAGCCACUCCCGAUAUUCGCAGAAAAAUUCAAAAACCGAAGGGUUUUUAGGACAUGGGCUGGAGUGGAUGUUAGAGGUGGCACAAACCACGUAUAACCAGAGAGAUGAGGUAGCCCAGAAGAAGAAAGAAAAUUACCAGGCUAAGAAACUCAUGGCUCUGCGCGCCAGCAACAGCGGCACGGGGGAACCUGCCCGGGAGGAGGGCGCGGCCGCCUGGGACGCAACCAGUGCGCCAUCUGCCGCCAAGAGGGCCACUGGAAGAACGAAUGCCCUCAGGGAAGGACUGGAGGCAGGGGAGGCCGGAUUCCUGGCACCAUCCCCAUGGGAGAUGGCACUGACUUAAGACCCUGGGCUGCGCCUGGGGACCCUCCAGGGGACGAGGAAGGGGAAGAGGAGGCCUUUGGUACCCGCCUGGGAACCGAGGACAGGCUGAAGCCAUGAGCCUGCAGCAACACCAGGAUGAAUAUUAGGACAGACCGGGCCCAACUAAUUUAGGUUCCCGUGAGCCCAUGGUCAAAAUGCAAGCAGGGAACCACAUGAUUCCUUUUAUGGUUGACACAGGCGCGGCUUACUCGGUCGUCCCAACCCCCGUUGCAAAACUAACUACAGAAUUCAUUAAUAUAGUGGGAGCCACUGGAAAGUCCCAGCAGGCACCAUUUCUACAACCGGUCACCUGCAAAUUAGGAGGCCAAGUGGUGCAGCAUAAUUUUCUGUAUGUUCCUGAAUGCCCUAUUCCAUUGCUGGGAAGAGACUUGUUGUCCAAAUUACAAGCCCAGAUCACUUUUAAACCAUCCGGAGAGGCCACCAUGUCCACAAUGCCACCUGGAGAAUUGGUUGUGGAAGCACCCCUGAGGGAGUAUUGGCGCCUCAUGAUGAUAAAAGAAGAGGAGGGGCCCAUUCCAACCAGCCUCUUAGAACAAGUAAAUCCUGAAGUAUGGGCUGAAGGCAACCCUCCUGGCAUGGCUAAAAAUAUACCCCCAAUAAUUGUAAGGACGAAGCCCUUCGUGAAUCCGGUGGCUGUGAACCAGUACCCCAUCCCUCGAGCGGCAGCAGAAGGAGUGUGGACUCACCUGCAUAGGCUCCUACAACAUGGCAUCUUGAAGCCCUGUCAAUCCCAGUGGAACACUCCCUUGCUUCCAGUAAAGAAAGAGGGAGGUGGCUACCGUCCGGUCCAAGAUCUGAGGCUGGUGAAUUCAGCUGUGGAAACCCUCCACCCCAACGUCCCCAAUCCUUACACUCUGCUGAGUUUAAUCCCCCCUGAUGCGAAAUACUUCUCUGUACUCGACUUGAAAGACGCGUUCUUUUGCUGCCGCCUAGCGGAGGGGAGCCAGCACUUAUUCGCUUUCCAAUGGAUUGACCCAGUCACAGGCACUAAAACUCAAUACACUUGGACGCGCCUCCCGCAGGGCUUCAAGAAUUCACCAACUCUUUUGGGGUAGCUCUAGCAUCGGACCUUGCCAGUUUCCCCACUACUCCCAGUAAGAUUGUGUUGCAGUAUUUCGACGAUCUCUUAGUGGCCUGCGUGGACGAAAGCGCGUGCUACGAAGCCACACGGGACCUCUUAAAUCACCUGGCUGAAGCAGGCUACCGAGUCUCCAAGUCUAAGGCUCAAAUUUGUAAGACAACUGUCAAGUAUCUUGGCUUUGACAUCUCUCACCAGCGACGGACCUUAAGGGAUGAACGCAAGCAGGCAAUCACUCGGAUCCCAGAGCCACGAAACCGGAAGGAGCUCCGCGGUUUCUUGGGAUCUGCGGGUUUUUGCAGAAUUUGGAUUCCCAACUACAGCGAAAUUGCACGGCCGCUGCAUGAGUCUACUAGAGGAACAGAGAAGGAUCCCUUUAUCUGGGGCCCUGAGCAGCAACAAGCCUUCCAAGGCCUCAAGACGGCCCUACAACAGGCCCCAGCACUGGGAAUCCCAAACCCAGAGAAGCCAUUUACCCUCUAUGUGGAUGAGGACCAAGGAACAGCGAAAGGGGUCCUUUGCCAGAAACUAGGAAGUUGGCAACAGCCUAUAGCCUAUUUGUCUGAAAGGCUGACCACCACGGAGCAAGGCCUGCCCCCCUGCAUGCGGGCAGUAGUAGCAGUGGCCUGCUUGCUUAAUAAGGCUGACAAGUUUGCCUUUGGACAAGACAUCACAUGUGUUACCCCACACGCAGUACCCGCCCUACUGGAUAUGAAGGGCACUUACUUCCUAUCCCAAGCUAAGAUGAUGAAGUGCCAGACUUUGCUGAUGCACCCACGCUUGAAGUUCCGUGUCACAGAGGCCCUCAACCCAGCUACUCUGUUACCUGUAGGAGAGGAAGAGGAGCCAGCCCACGAUUGCAUACAGGUCAUGGACGAAGUCUACUCCAGUAGACCAGACCUUAAGGAUGAAGCCAAUCCAGCGUGGCCUUCCUGGUUUGUGGAUGGCAGCAGCUUCGUGGAAGAGGGACAACGGAGAGCAGGAUAUGCCAUCGUGGCCCUCGAGGAUGUAGUCAUUGAAGCCUGCCCCCUCCCACCAGGAACAUCAGCUCAACUGGCAGAAAUUACUGCUUUGACACGAGCCCUGCGCCUGGCUGAAGGUACAGAUAUUAACAUCUAUACGGACUCUAAGUAUGCUUUUCUUACCCUGCACGCUCAUGGCGCCCUCUGGAGAGAACGAGGACUGCUGACCUCGAAAGGGAGCCCUGUGGCCCACCCACAAGCACUCUUGGAUCUCUUGGAUGCAGUGUGGGCACCCCGCCAAGUGGCCGUUGUCCACUGCUACGGCCACCGGACAGGAUCCAGUGAUGAUGCCCGAGGAAAUCGUUUGGCAGAUCGAAUAGCCAAAGAGGCGGCGCGACGGCCAAACCCGGCCCCCCUCGUUGCUGCCUUGAUACCUGAGCAAGUCUUGGACACCAGCCUCAAGCCCCACUAUACCACCCAGGAGGAAAUGACAGCCAACACUGAGGGACUGGACAUUUCAAAGGAUGGCUGGUACCUUACCCCAGAUGACCGCGUGUGGGUCCCGGAAUCCCUAGCCCGCCAAGUGGUUCAGCGCUACCACGAUUCCUUACAUGUAGGACCAGAUGCCAUGACCAAGCAGCUGGGAAAGUGUUUUACAUCUCCAAGCUCUAUCAACUGGCUUCACAAGUCUCUAAGCGUUGUGCCCUAUGCCAGAAGAACAACCCUAGGGCCGGCCUUCUGCCUCCUCCAGGAGUUCAACAUUGUGGCACAGCACCCAUGGAAGAUUUGGUUGUGGACUUUACCGAGCUGCCCCGUUGUGGCCUAUAUCGUUACCUCCUUGUGGCUGUGUGCACUUAUACAGGGUGGGUGGAGGCCUGGCCCACCAAGACUGAGCGGUCAUCUGAAGUUGCUAGGUGUCUGCUCCGGAAAUCAUUCCCCGCUAUGGCUUGCCUCGCUCCAUAGGGUCGGACAAUGGUCCAGCUUUUGUGCACAAAGUUUUGCAGGAGAUAGCUAAGCUCUUGCAGAUAAAUUGGAAGUUACAUAGUGCAUACCGACCCCAGAGUUCUGGAAAAGUAGAGAGGAUGAACAGGACUUUGAAAAAUCAACUGUCCAAAUUGACACAGGAGACAGGGUCCAAUUGGGUAGCGAUGUUGCCCCUCGCCCUGCUCCGGGUUCGAAGUCUCCCAUCCAAGCGAACCCAUCUCUCUCCCUUUGAACUGAUGUUUGGGAGACCUGUUCCCUAUGUACGCAUGAUUUCCCCCACCCCGGUCCAGGAUGUUGAAACAGAUCAUUAUGUGCAGUCACUCUCCCGCACUUUUCUUUCUCUCAACAGGUGGACCCAGGCUCGUACCCCGUGUGUGUUAGUCGAACCCCUACACCGUUUCGAGCCGGGCGAUGAUGUGUGGGUAAAAGACUGGGCCCAAACUCCGCUACAGCCUUGCUGGAAGGGUCCCUACACUGUGCUUCUCUCUACACCCACUGCUGUCAAGGUUGCUGGCAUCGCCCCUUGGGUCCACCAUACUCGUGUGAAGGCAGCAUCUUCAGACUGGACUGUGUCUCCUAACCCGCAAGAUCCUCUUCGGCUGACCAUCUCCAGGCGCCCGACGGACGACUGCCCUGCUGCUGUCACUCCGGGAAGCUGAUAGCUCUACGCACGGCCGAAGAUAAGGAUGGGAGGGGUACCCAACGCCAGUACCCCCAACGUUCCUGAUAGCCAAGCCCUUCCCCACGCCCCUAUCAUGCCUGAUAUGUGGUGGGAGGAGUCCUGGACUCCCGGGGCUUGGUGGGCUUGGGUUCUGUGUAUGCCCCUGAUUUUCUUGAUGCUUUUGUAUUUCUGCUGGCAUGAACGCCCCCGUAUGUGUGGUAGGCCCCCUGGUGCUUUUACUGCUUCUCUGCUUCUGUAUUCCCUGCUUGAUGCAAUGCAUGCAGAAUAUGAUGGAGAAAAUGAUGUCUCGCAUGAUGGGCCCCCGUGUGAUAGCUUACCUGAGGGAGUAUCGCCCUAUCCCUGUUGAUGCACCUGGCGGUGAUCAAGAAGAAGAGGAGGGAGUGAAGGAAGAGGAGUGAAGAGAUGGGGGG